GUAGGAUCUGGUAGCGUUGAUCUGUAACUCAAGCGAGUACUGUUUGUUUGCAAAACUCGUAGUGAUGUAUAGCUUUGUCUCAAUGCGUUAUUUCGGAUGUCCUAGCUGGGCCAGACAUCAACAUGUGUCAAUUAUGGUAGCAUAAUUAGUACAGGUUGUAUAAUGAGGAGCGUUCGGCUGAGGAGCGAAAGCUAGCAGGUCAAAGCCCCCGUGUCUGGUGGCAGCGGGAUAGCAUCUGAUAGUGUUGGGCUUGGUUGUAUUCACCUUGUGGCCAUACCAAACAAACUU
rnacentral:SRP_RNA from 1 species